rnacentral:lncRNA from 10 species
AGAUUUUAAACAAUUUCAUUAGUUUUAAGAGAAUUUGUAAUGCUUUUUGAAACAUUUUUAUGAUAGCUGCUUUGAAAUCUUUGUUAGAUCAUUCUCACAUCUGAUUCAUACUAGUGUAGUAUGUGUUGAUGGUCUUUUUUGAUUCAUGCGAUUUUCUUGGUUCUCGUUUUGAUGAGUGAUUUUAGAAUACGUCCUGGACAUUUUGCCUAGGUCUUGAGUCCUCAUCUUGCUCUGUGUCAUUAAGUCUUAAUGUUGCUGAGUGGAGGUUUUAUUGCUGGUUGCUGGACCUCACUGACACUAAUUUUGUAGGGGAAUCAGAUUACUGCCUGCUUCUGCUGGUUGGGAAUGGAAGAUAGCUCUCCACUCAGACACCUUAAUACUGUCACAGCAGGGAAAUUAAAGAAUGGCCUGUUUCUAUUGGGCAGGGAAUGGAGGAUCAGCCCUCUGCUGGGUCUUAUAGACACUACCCCUCCAGGGGAAUUGGGUAACUGUUACUGCUUCCACUUUGCAGGGGAUGGAAUAUUAGCUCCCUAUUCUGCUUUGCCUGUACUUCUCAGUUGAGGAAUUGAAGUGGGCCACCUGUUUCCCUGGGGGUGGGUUAAGGUAGAAGAUAAAAUUCCCAUGGUCCCACUAAAACUGGAGGACUGGGAAGGGAAGGGUUGUAUGUGAUUUUCUGUUGGUGUGUUGUCAGAGCAGGGCAGGUAUUGCUAGAAAGAAUUUCUGUUGUUAGGCCAUCUUUUUUCACUGAUCCUUUGGCCAGGGAAAAUAGGCUUUUCUUAGCACUUUUUUGGGGGGACAGUUCUGGGUUGGAGGCUUGUCUAGCACCCUCUUGGAAUACAUGAGAGGCGAUAAAGAAGGGAAGGAGACUUACUGCUAUGUUGUUCCUCAGGUCCUUCAUUCUGUAGCCAGUCCACCUUUUUUCCACCUUUCAGAGUCUUCCUGUGUUUGUUUUGAUCCUACUCCAUCUUGGCAGAACUAGAAAUCCAAAGUCACUUAUAGAGUUGGUGGGAUAGUACUUAGCAGAGCUACUUUUCACAGUGACUUUUAAAUACUGCUUGAGGAAAUGUGAGUUGCUGCAACCUUUUAAAAGGUGAUUUAAGUGAUUGGAAACAUCUAUGACUAUUAACAAUACACAUUGCUUUGAUUUUAACAGGCAUGCAUCUGAUUUAGCCACUAGAAAUAAAAGUGUGAAUUGUUCAGGAUAUAUGCUUUAGGUUAUUUAAUGCAGCAUUAUUUCUAAGUGGUGAAUAAAUGGAAAUAUAGUUAAUAUCCAUUGGUAUUGAAAUGCUUCAAUAAAUAAUGAUAUAGCUGUGAUAUAAAUGAUUCAUUUGAUUAACCUGGAAGGAUAUUCAUUGUAUAUAGAUAAGUGAAAAAAGGCAAGAGCAGAGUUAUAUAUUAAUUAUGAAGUUAUGUUUGUAAAGUAAAAGUGGCAAAACUUCUAUUUGCAUGUAUUUGUAUACAAUUUCGUUAAAAAAUGCAUAUGGAAGAAUAAUACCAAAUUGGUUAUCUGAGGAGGAUGUGAUGGUGAGAUUAUUUAUCUUUACUCAUUUGUAUUUUUAGGCUGUUGUAAUAAGCAUGUUUCACUCCUAUAAUUAAAUAUAUAUGUAUAUAUAAAAUGAAGAAAAACAAACUAAAGGAAAUGUUAGCAAUGGGUACUAGUUGGUUAAGAAGGGAUUAAGGGGAUCCUUGAGGCAGUGAAAGUUCACAUCUUUUUAGACUUUUAGAUUAAAUUUAGUAAUAUAAAUUAUUGUCAGAAACGAAUAGGCAGCCAGUGCAGACUAUGGAAAAUAGUUAGUAGCUGUUCCUUUGUGCUUUGCAGCCCAGGUAUUGUAUUCAUGUGCAUAUAAAAUGCAAGGUUGAAUAUAAAGGUAUGCAAAAGAGAGCCAGCCUUCAGGCUAGAGAGAUGUUAAAAUUCUCUGUGAUGAGUUUAUACAGAAAAUUGUUCUUCCUUCCUUACUUGUCCCUUGAAACUGCACUAGCAACUGGAGUCCUGAACAAAUCACAGUGCUGCCCAUCUGCCUGAGAAUGGAAGCCUCAUAUCGGUAGCCCAGGAUGACCUUUGCUCCAUUAUGCAAAUAUGUUUUUCUGCAUACCAUCAUCACCAUUGGCCUUUUAUGGAUUACAUUUUACAUUUCAGCACAUUUUCUGUGAUGUCAGCUCUGAAAUCUGUCUAGCAUGAGACAGGUGGUGAAAUUGAGCUGUCAAGAUCAGAUAAAAAUGAUAUGAUGGCUCACAAAUGUCCACCUAUUUCUCCAAAUGGCUUCAUACUCAUAUUACUAUGACAGGCGAUAAAAUAAGGCCUAUGCAUCUCUCAACAUGAUAAUCCUUUUAGAGGAUGAAUGGUCUUGUAAGCUGAUUGUAUAGGUUUGCCGUGAGCUGAAAUGUCAGUGGCUCCUGAUGGAUCAGAUUUUCCUAGAGUUUUUUUUCCUUCCCCAUAGUAUUGUUAAUAAUGUGGUAAUCAGUGAAAUAAAAAAAAAUCUGCUUUGAUUUUAAAAGAA